AUGAAAGGGAAGAGAACUCAAAAUAGUCGUAGAAGCAACAUCAGCGACUAGGUUUUUUUAAGUUCUUCUAUUGUGCCAAUUGCUGUUGUAUCUGAAUGCUUUCCAGAGUUAAGAAUAGUUAAGUGACUAGCAUCUGUUAUUUGAGGUUUCUAUUUCUCCCAUAUCCCCCAGAGCAGUUUUCAACCUGUGGUGCACAGACCUCUGGGAGUUUGCAGACUGUCUAAGGAGUUCUCGAAAGGUUGUCGUUACAACGGAACAGUGGUUUUCAAGCCGUGGCCUGUGGGGGUCCACAGACUAUAUCUAAGAUUUCCAAAGAGGAAAUGGAGGAAAAAAACCUUCUUCGCUGCCAGUCUGAUCAAAAAUCUCAAGAAAUCCAUCAGCUGCAAGAAGAACUGAAAACAGCUAAACAGUUUCUGAAGGAGACCCAGAAUUAUGCGGAAGAGAUGAAAAAGAAGAGUUUGUCUCAGGAAAUACAAUUAGAAAAGAAAGAAGCUGAGAUUUGGGAUUUAGAGGAAAAAUCAAGAUUUGACUGAGGAACUUGAGAAAGUGCAGUCAGAGUUGCAACUUAAACAAGCUGAGAUCGCUCAUCUCCAAAAUCUAUCUGCAGCCGAGUUGGCUUGUUUAAAAAAGGAAAUAGUAAACAUCAAGGCAGAGCAAAAGAAACUUCAAGAGCAACUUAACAACUCGCUUCAAGAAAAUGAGCAACUGAGCAAGCUAGACAAUCUGAAGGCUUUAGUUCAACUGAAGAAGCAAAAUGGAUUCGCUGACAGUAAACUGAAGACAUGGAUGCAAUCC